CUUUAAAAGUCAUCAUAAGUAGCCUUCUUGGUAGUGUAUGCAGCCUGUUUAUUAUAUGGGUUGCCCUAAGGGACCUUAGAGACAGCC
rnacentral:snoRNA from 1 species